rnacentral:rRNA from 1 species
UGCGCCCUACGGGGGGCAGCAGUGAGGAAUAUUGGUCAAUGGCCGAGAGGCUGAACCAGCCAAGUCGCGUGAGGGAUGACGGCCCUACGGGUUGUAAACCUCUUUUGUCGGGGAGCAAGACCCGCCUCGUGCAGGCGGAGCGAGAGUACCCGAAGAAAAAGCAUCGGCAAACUCCGUGCCAGCAGCCGCGGUAAUACGGAGGAUGCGAGCGUUAUCCGGAUUUAUUGGGUUUAAAGGGUGCGCAGGCGGACGAUCAAGUCAGCGGUAAAAUCGUGGGGCCCACCCCCACACGGCAG